GAUGAACGCUGGCGGCGUGCCUAAUACAUGCAAGUCGAGCGAACAGACGAGAAGCUUGCUGCUCUGAUGUUAGCGGCGGACGGGUAAGUAACACGUGGAUAACCUACCUAUAAGACUGGGAUAACUUCGGGAAACCGGAGCUAAUACCGGAUAAUAUUUUGAACCGCAUGGGUCAAAAGUGAAAGACGGUCUUGCUGUCACUUAUAGAUGGAUCCGCGCUGCAUUAGAUGGUUGGUAAGGUAACGGCUUACCAAGGCAACGAUGCAUAGCCGACCUGAGAGGCGGAUAGCCCACAUUGGAACUGAGACACGGUCCAGACUACUAAGGGAGGCAGCAGUAGGGAAUCUUACGCAAUGGGCGAAAGUCUUACGGAGCAACGCCGAGUGAGUGAUGAAGGUCUCACGAUCGUAAAAACCUGUUAUUAGGGAAGAACCUAUGUGUCCGUAAAUGUGCACAUAUUGACGGUAACUAAUCAGAAAGCCACGGCUAACUACGUG
rnacentral:rRNA from 1 species